rnacentral:rRNA from 1 species
UACGUAGGGGGCAAGCGUUGUCCGGAAUCAUUGGGCGUAAAGAGCGCGUAGGCGGUCCGGUAAGUCCGCUCUGAAAGUCAAGGGCUCAACCCUUGAAUGCGGGUGGAUACUGCCGGGCUAGAGUCCGGAAGAGGCGAGUGGAAUUCCUGGUGUAGCGGUGAAAUGCGCAGAUAUCAGGAGGAACACCGAUGGCGAAGGCAGCUCGCUGGGACGGUACUGACGCUGAGGCGCGAAAGCGUGGGGAGCAAACAGG